GAUGAACGCUAGCUACAGGCUUAAUACAUGCAAGUAGAACGCUGAAGUCUGGUGCUUGCACUAGACGGAUGAGUUGCGAACGGGUGAGUAACGCGUAGGUAACCUGCCUCAUAGCGGGGGAUAACUAUUGGAAACGAUAGCUAAUACCGCAUAACAGUAUUUACCGCAUGGUAGAUGCUUGAAAGGAGCAAUUGCUUCACUAUGAGAUGGACCUGCGUUGUAUUAGCUAGUUGGUGAGGUAGCGGCUCACCAAGGCAUCGAUACAUAGCCGACCUGAGAGGGUGAUCGGCCACACUGGGACUGAGACACGGCCCAG
rnacentral:rRNA from 1 species